CGCAAGCCUGACGGAGCCAGACCGCGUGGGGGAGGAAGGCCCUUGGGUUGUAAACCACUUUUCUCAGGGAAGAAGGACUGACGGUACCUGAGGAAUAAGCCUCGGCUAACUCCGUGCCAGCAGCCGCGGUAAUACGGAGGAGGCAAGCGUUAUCCGGAAUUAUUGGGCGUAAAGCGUCCGCAGGGGGCACAUCAAGUCUGCUGUUAAAGGCUGGAGCUUAACUCCGGUAGAGCAGUGGAAACUGGUGUGCUAGAGGGCGACAGGGGUAGAGGGAAUUCCCAGUGUAGCGGUGAAAUGCGUAGAGAUUGGGAAGAACACCGGUGGCGAAAGCGCUCUACUGGGUCGCACCUGACCCUCAGGGACGAAAGCUAAGGUAGCG
rnacentral:rRNA from 1 species